UAUACACCCGCACAGCUGCACCUACCCUACCCAUCAUCAGACUGUCAGCUCUGUGGGGCAGGAUUCCUCAGAUGACUUGCUGAAAAUGCAGCGGGAAUGCGGUGACUUCUGAUGUAACCGGGGGCUUUCAUAAACACUUUAUCCUAAUGUUUUCCUGUCAUUUUCCCUUUGUUGUUUGACUGUACAGACAUUUCUAGGGCUCUGACAGCUGUGGUGUUGGAAUGAAAUUCUCCAUAGCGAGGAGCUUGUAAUUCGGAUCUCCCCAGCCCUCCUCAAUAAAUCUCUCAGUAGUCUUAUCUUACCUGCUGCUGUGCACAAAUAGCCGCCUGUAACGUCACACAGGAGCUCCAGUCUAUCUUUGGGGCACUCUGGCUCCAUACGUUUUCAAUCCAUCAGAAAACAAAAAACAAGAAAAGUGAAUCUGCAGGUGAGAAAAACAGGACUUUUAGAAAACCUAGGACUGCAGGCAUGUAAAACAACUGGGAGGGAAAAACUUUGAUUGUAAUCAACGCAGGGCAAAAUCGCAGGGCAACAGCCACCAGUGUAUACAUGCAUUGCCAUGGUAGCCAAAUUAAAUCUCAAUAUUGCCAAGCAUUGUGGGAACGGAGAGAUCUGACAAUCACCUGAUAAAUCGGCACGUUCAAAUCAUACAAAUUAUGGACUGAAUUCUGCCCCUACAGGAAUUUUAGAUGUGAACGCUACUCGGCUGAGCAUUGUAAGUUAUUAAAGUAAAAGAUCGACUGGCUGGAGAUCUACUACAUGACGGUCAGCGGCAAAGCACAGGGUAGUGUUGUUUAAUUCCACAGAGUAUCGGUUCUACUUUAAGUCUCUGAUCAUCCGUUUGAUUCACAAAAAAAUGUACUUAAAAGCAGUUUUGGUGUGUAGAACAUGCCCCUGCAGUCUGACUGCUCAAUUCUCUGCCGUUUAGGAGUUAAAUCCCUUUGUUUAUACAGCUCUAGUCACACCUCCCUGCAUGUGACUUACACAGUCUUCCUAAACACUUCCUGUAAAGAUUCAUCUAAUAUUUACACUUCCUUUAUUGCAAAUUCUGUUUAAUUUAUCAUUUCUUAUCUCCUGCUCUGCUAAUAGCUUGCUAGACCCUCUAUAGGAGCCUCCUAUAUGUAAUUAAAGUUCAAUUUACAGAGCAGGAGAUACAAACUUCUAAAGCAGUCAGUCGCAGCAAGGAGAGGUGUGGCUAGGGCUGCAUAAAACAGAAACAAAAUGGCAGAUAAUUGCGCAUAAUCUAUGCAUAAAAACUGCUUCAUUAGUCUAAAGUUGUUUUGGUGACUAUAGUGUCCCAUUAAGUUUCCAAAAUGCAUUGGCAGUUUCAUUAGCACGACUCAGAUCACAUACUCUAGCAUUGGGCAACCUUCAGCACUCCAGAUGCCGUGGACUACAUCUCUCCUGAUGCUUUGCUAGCAUUAUGGCUGUUAGAGGAUUAUGGCAGUGCAAAGGGUGCCCACCACUGCUGGAGACGAACACGUAUAAGGUCAGAGAGCCUGGAACAGUCAGUUGUAUGAGGGUGUCUUAUUCUGUCCAAGUAGGAAAACUCUGUGUAGCAAAGUUGGGGAGUGAGUCCCCCCAAAUCAGAACACCUUUCCAACAGUAACACGCAUAGUAACAAGACACACGUAACACACAUAGCAACACAGGCUACAGACACGUCUCAUCUGCUUUUAAAGGGACCAAUACCAUUGGAGGCAUGUGGAGAAACCUACCUAUUUCAGAACUAACCAACUGAACUGGAGGAAGCUCCACACGUGAGCACCAAGAAUCUAGGAACCAGAGAUUGAAAGCAGUGCUCCUAAAAUGUGACAGAUACACAAACCAUGUAGGUUAUUAACUUUACAACCAUUCCUUCUAUUCUUAAAUGAUCUCAGUGGCCAAUUAUUAAACCUGCGGCUUUCUCUAUUGAAGACACUUUCUACUUCUGUUUUCAGUUUCAGACAUGUUUUAAUAUCUACCCCCCUACUUAAUUUGAUACAUGCCGGAGGACGCGAUGCCACACUGACCGAAUCACAACAUUAACCCAGCACAAGAUCAGUGGCGAAUACACAGACACAAUCAAUUAACCUCCAAACAGCUACAAUAACCACCUUGAACUCCCACAUUUGGUCCAAGGGACAUAAACUCUCCAGAAGAUUUAGCCUGGCCUGGCACAGCUCCAGAUGUUUGGACUGGGAAGCAGGAGGUAAUGUUUCCUGGAAAAUGUAUGAGUUUGGAGGGCAGAGGAGAGUGAAGAGGGGCCUGUCUGUGACUGUAACCUUACCAAGAAGGUACCAAAUGUCUCCUCCGUAAUUCUCCAGAGAAAGUUCUGUGCCAAACGGGAACACAAAUAGAUAUAUUGUGCACUGGAAUGAGACAGAACCAUCUGAACGGGCCAACUGUUAAACUGCAGGUCAAGCUUCACAGUGUGUUUUAAAAGAUGCCAGGUUUAGUCGGCAUAAAACGACUGCUUCCUGAUCUGCAGAUCCCGUACUGGAUCCAGGAGGAAGAUCUUGAGCAGUACCAUGGAGGUUCCCACACUCUCACAAGAGAGGACGGGCACUGGGGGGGUUAACAAUGGGAGCUGAGAAAAAGGAAAAGGGAACAAGAGACAGGUAAUGUAACAGAACAUGUCAGAAAGCGGUGGAGAGACACCAGAUAGAGUUUGUCACUAAAACAGGUUUCUUUGAAGGAACAAGAUCUGUAAUUAGAACAAAUGUCAAAUAAUUGGUAACUGUGUCUAGUUUGUAAAUAGGUGGUGGUGGUGGUGGGGGGGAGCACACUAACUUUAAAUUUUUUCUGUUUGCUGUACCAGACCUAACAUCCUAUCGGAGAGUAAAACCUCCACCGGGAAUUUUAAUCCUUUAUAUUAUUGGUCCCAACAAAGCUAUAGAAAACCCGUCCCAUUUGGCUGUAAACUGUUCCCUCCAUCAAAUUUAGAAAAUGGCAUUUACUCAUAUCCAACUCGGCGCGGAAUCUGAAAACAAAGGGUUGAGAUUUAAACUCUCACUUCCUAAUUCUCCCCUCUGUCAGCAGCCAGCUCUGCUCUCGGUAUUUGAGAUGUUGCUCCUGUGCAGAAUGGGUGGUCACAAAAGUAUUAAUAUUUAUUUUAUUUUAGCCGCUAAAGAUGCAAAAACAUCAACUUUACAAAUUCCGACUUAAGAGAUGGAGCAAUGCCACCAAGGAUUAAACUAGGCCAUUUAUAAUUGAUCUGGGCCUCUCGAACCCUCGCCAAACUGGGUAGAGGUGCUAAUUCAUAUUUCCAUUAAAGUGUGCUGAAUAUUCAGGCUUUCUACACAAUCCUCCAGCGGACUGUGAUGGAUAGCACUUUAGCACUCAAUAAUAUUUCGUUAUUAUUCUAUUUUAUUUAUAAAGUGUCUGUACGGCUGGUUGUCAUUAGCAAUAUGCAGUUUGUGUGUUUCGUCUCCACAAUCCCAAAUUACUUUCUUGGUGACGUACAGCCAAGGCUAACAUGCCAUUUCUUAACAGGGAACUUAUUGACCUAAAACACUUACUUGAUGUUGUCCCCAUGAAUGCACACUUCACAAUUUUUUAAUCUUUUCACCCCAGCGUUCAAUAAAUGCUCGAGGAAGGAGCCGAUCCAGCAUGGAGAAAAAUCUUAGAAGUCACUCGGAGCGAAUUCUAUCCAAAACUUCCACCCCUGAAUGGAUAGAGAUAAGCUAUAAGCUCUUUGAUCCAGACGUGUCAAGGAACUGUACUUUAUUUCGUUAUACGGACACUCGCUACAGACUUCAAACCCGCUAGCUUACAGAAAAAUGGCCUAACGAAGUCCAAGAGGUCCCACCAGAGUCUGCUACUGCCUCAGUUUAUCUUCUUGAGAUGUUCUAAAUGUCUCCAACAGACACAAGAAUUUACUUAGUAGUGAUAAACUAAAGGUCUAUUGGUAUAUUUUUGGACCUGACUUUAAAAUUUGCUUUAAAACAGGCUUUAUUAUACAUUACUGCUCUGGAAAUUCCCAAAUGGUGACUUUCAUAGUCACGUUUCUCCUAACAAACUGAUUGAUCCGGGAUAUGAAAAAAAUAAAGCCAAACUGAAGGGGG